UACGGAGGGUGCAAGCGUUAUCCGGAUUCACUGGGUUUAAAGGGUGCGUAGGUGGGUUGGUAAGUCAGUGGUGAAAUCUCCGAGCUUAACUUGGAAACUGCCAUUGAUACUAUUAAUCUUGAAUAUUGUGGAGGUCAGCGGAAUAUGUCAUGUAGCGGUGAAAUGCUUAGAGAUGACAUAGAACACCAAUUGCGAAGGCAGCUGGCUACACAUAUAUUGACACUGAGGCACGAAAGCGUGGGGAUCAAACAGGG
rnacentral:rRNA from 1 species